rnacentral:rRNA from 1 species
CAUGUAGGCGGUGGUAUAUGUCGAAUGUGAAAUUCCAAGGCUCAACUUUGGAUCUGCAUUCGAAACUGCAUCACUAGAGUGCUGGAGAGGAAGUCGGAAUUCCAAGUGUAGCGGUGAAAUGCUUAGAUAUUUGGAAGAACACCAGUGGCGAAGGCGGACUUCUGGACAGCAACUGACGCUGAAAUGCGAAAGUGUGGGGAGCGAACAGGAUUAGAUACCCUGGUAGUCC